rfam:Schistosoma mansoni strain Puerto Rico chromosome 1, complete genome
AUCCAUCUGACGAGUCCCAAAUGGGACGAAACGUGCGUCCUGGAU